rnacentral:rRNA from 1 species
GAUGAACGCUAGCGGCAGGCCUAACACAUGCAAGUCGAGGGGCAUCGCGGUGCAGCAAUGCACUGGCGGCGACCGGCGUACGGGUGCGUAACGCGUAUGCAACCUGCCCCGCACCGGGGGAUAGCCCGCCGAAAGGCGGAUUAAUACCCCAUGGUCCCGGGGGCCCGCAUGGGCAUCCGGGUAAAGCCUUGGCGGUGCGGGAUGGGCAUGCGUACCAUUAGCUGGCUGGUGGGGUAACGGCCCACCAGGGCAACGAUGGCUAGGGGGUCUGAGAGGAUGGUCCCCCACACUGGUACUGAGACACGGACCAGACUCCUACGGGAGGCAGCAGUGAGGAAUAUUGGUCAAUGGGCGGAAGCCUGAACCAGCCAUGCCGCGUGCGGGAUGAAGGCCCUACGGGUUGUAAACCGCUUUUCCCCGGGAAGAAUAACCCCGAUGAGUCGGGGGAUGCCGGUACCGGGGGAAUAAGGAUCGGCUAACUCCGUG